CGUCCGUUGCAGUGGCAAGGGUGGGGGUAGAAAGAGUUGCAUUGUCUAGACUUUGUCAUAAUUUUUCGGGCACUUGGCGGCGAAAGACGUGUUUGUGAAAAAGUGAAAAAUGUAAACGCUAUUAAAGGACUUGGGAGGCGAUUCUUUCUCUGUUUUCUGAGGAAAAUGCAGCUGAAACUUAAAAAGAUUUGACUGGAAGCAGCGGUCCAGAUGUAGAGUUUUGGAAGUGUGGCAGAACAAAAUUGAGAACGUCUUUGAGAUCCAGCUUCCGCAAACCACUUUUCGCACUUUUUAAAAGCGAAAGUAAGGGAAUAAAACUGCUCAAAUCUUUGGAAAGCCACGCUGAAGAGAUACAAUCAACUUUAAUUUGGCUUGCG